CUAUCACUCUCGGCCUUUUGGCUAAGAUUAAGUGUAGUAUCUGUUCUUAUCAGUUUAAUAAUCUCAUCAAUGGCCAUAAUCCAGAGACUCAGAAAUAAAGCUCCCAUAAGGGAGAAACAUAGGCCUUCACCCAUGGGUGAACCUGCUGUGUUUUAAAUUGCAUUUUAAAUUUUAGAAUUCCUG